GCCAGCCCCAGUGCCUCUCCUGAAUGUCCUGGCCACCCGGGUGCAGAGGGGGUGGCAACCCUUUUGCAGAGGGAGGUAUUUUUCCUUCCACUUUUACCCAUGAGGAAGUGGAGGCCCAGGAAAGUGAGAGAGGUGGCUCAGCUUCCACCACUGGCCAGCGGUGUGGCCUGGAAUGCAGGCCCCAGCAACUUUGCAGCCUCCUGCCUUAAGGGAGUGGGCUGGACCCCAAAUGAAUCAGUCCCAGGCCGGGCGCGGUGGCUCACGCCUGUAAUCUCAGCACUUUGGGAGGCCAAGGUGGGUGGAUCACAAGGUUAGGAGAUCAAGACUAUCCUGGCUAACAUGGUGAAACCUCAUCUCUACUAAAAAUACAAAAAUUAGCCGGGUGUGGUGGCGUGCGCUUGUAAUCCCAGCUACUUGGGAGGCUGAGGCAGGAGAAUCGCUUGAACCCAGGAGGCGGAGGUUGCAGUGAGCUGAGAUCGCGCUGCUGCACUCCAGCCUGGGCGACAGAGCAAGACUCCACCUAAAAAAAAAAAAAAUUUAGUCCCAAAUGCCUCUCAGCUCCUGCCCUAUCCCAGACAUCUUAAAGCUCAGAGCUGGUCUGCUGCCUAUUUCCCAGCCUAGGUGCUCAGUGGAAGUUGGGCGCCUCCAGUUAUUUUCUGAGGUUGAAAAAGCUUAACUAAAAUAUAACUUUGCAGGCCAGGCACAGUGGCUCAUGCUUGUAAUCCCAACAUUUUGGGAGGCUGAGGUGGGAGGAUUGCUCGAGCCCAGGAGUUCAAGACCAACCUAGGCAACAUAGUGAGACCCCCAUCUCUACAAAAAAUAAAAAUAACAAUUAGCCAGGCACGGUGGCUCAUGCCUGUGAUCCCAGCUACUAAGGAGGCCACAGCAGGAGGAUUUCUUGAGGCCAAAAGUUUGAGACCAGCCUGGGUAACAUAGUGAGACCCCAUCUCUACAAAAAAUAAAAAAACAACAACAAAAAAGGAAAGAGUAGCCAGGUGUGGUGGUGCACAUGGG
rnacentral:lncRNA from 1 species